rnacentral:rRNA from 1 species
UACGUAGGGUACGAGCAUUAAUCGGAAUUAUUGGGCGUAAAGGGCGCGUAGGCGGAAGUGUAAGUCAGGUGUGAAAUACCAAAGCUCAACUUUGGUGCUGCAUUUGAAACUGCACUUCUAGAGGACUGACGGAGAAAGCGGAAUUCCUGGAUGUAGCGGUGAAAUGACGCAGAUAUCAGGAGGAACACCGGUGGCGAAGGCGGAUCUCUGGGCCUUACCUGACGCUCAGGCGACGAAAGGCUAGGGGAGCGAACAGG